rnacentral:lncRNA from 1 species
UAUGUGAUUUUUAUCUUUUAUUAAUUAUUUGCUUAUUGUUCAUAAAUUGUAAUUCAUGAAAGGCAGCUCACUAUCUUAUUUUCAUGGUUUGUAAAGGUAUGUAUAAAUUGCACCCUGAUUGGCACCCCACUCAUUGAUUUACGCGCCAGGUAAAAAUCAUGUGACAAGUAGCACAUGGUUUUUCGUACAGGUAAAUGUUUAAGGCAGAGCACACCUAGAUUUUGAUGUGAACAGACGUUCUGUCUGCUGCAGUUCACUUAUAUUUGGUGAUACCUCAGAAUUGUCAAUUCAGGACAUGGAGAUUCACAGGACAAUAUAAUGAAUUUGCUCAGGUAAGAACAAUUAUUUAUAUUUUUGAAGGUGUUAUCAUUUAGUUGUCAUUUUGACAUAUCAAACAGACCCGGAGACUUUUCAUUCACGUGGCGGUCGAUUUAUGGGUUGAAAUCUUGUUUUCAUUUGAUUAUAAAUUUAUUUGGGGUUCAAUUAUUUGUUUCAGGGGUUGGUCCAUGCAGUUUUAAUGCUCAGUUUUGGAGCGGCAGCAUUUAAAUGGUCAGACAACGUACGUCCCAUUUAUUGACACAGAUCUUCCCAAAUACCAGUUGUGAGGUUUAGUUUAACGUAUCAUACAACGGCCAAUAUAUAUAUGUUAUGUGGCAGAAAUUACGUAUUUACGUUUAUAGAAGCUGUGGUAUAUUCACCGGAAGUUGGUGUUAGUUUACCGGAAGUCCGUGUUUCAUUUAACGGAAGUGGCAUAUCAAUAUAGAAGCUAUGCAAUUAGUGAAAUGUAUUUUAUAAGUGAAUAUAUAGUGAGCCAUACAUCUUAUUGAUGUUACAAGUGUACACAAGUCAAUAUUAAAUAGUGAAAAGUUUAAUAAAGUAAAAGUUUAGAAUAAUUCAAUCUGAAAGUAUUUGAUGUUCGUUCCAAGCGACGUCCUAGAUCUUGACCGCAAACAGAGUGAAUGAUAGCAGAUGUGAUGAGACAUUUUUCUGAUUAGUUUCAACUUAUACUUACUAAC